rnacentral:rRNA from 1 species
AUUUAACGCUGGCGGCAGGCCUAACACAUGCAAGUCGAGCGGAGCGGCGGACGGGUGAGUAAUGCCUAGGAAUCUGCCUGGUAGUGGGGGAUAACGUCCGGAACCGGGCGCUAAUACCGCAUACUAUCAGAUGAGCCUAGGUCGGAUUAGCUAGUGGGGGGGGUAAAGGACUACCAAGGCGACGAUCCGUAACUGGUCGGAGAGGAUGAUCAGUCACACUGAAACUGAGACACGGUCCAGAAUCCUACGGGAGGCAGCAGUGGGGAAUAUUGGACAAUGGGCGCAAGCCUGAUGCAGCCAUGCCGCGUGUGUGAAGAAGGCCUUCGGGUUGUAAAGCACUUUCAGCGGGGAGGCGUUACCCGCAGAAGAAGCACCGGCUAACUCCGUGCCAGCAGCCGCGGUAAUUC